rnacentral:rRNA from 1 species
GUGCUUGCAUCAUGAUUUACAUUUGAGUGAGUGGCGAACUGGUGAGUAACACGUGGGAAACCUGCCCAGAAGCGGGGGAUAACACCUGGAAACAGAUGCUAAUACCGCAUAACAACUUGGACCGCAUGGUCCGAGUUUGAAAGAUGGCUUCGGCUAUCACUUUUGGAUGGUCCCGCGGCGUAUUAGCUAGAUGGUGGGGUAACGGCUCACCAUGGCAAUGAUACGUAGCCGACCUGAGAGGGUAAUCGGCCACAUUGGGACUGAGACACGGCCCAAACUCCUACGGGAGGCAGCAGUAGGGAAUCUUCCACAAUGGACGAAAGUCUGAUGGAGCAACGCCGCGUGAGUGAAGAAGGGUUUCGGCUCGUAAAACUCUGUUGUUAAAGAAGAACAUAUCUGAGAGUAACUGUUCAGGUAUUGACGGUAUUUAACCAGAAAGCCACGGCUAACUACGUGCCAGCAGCCGCGGUAAUACGUAGGUGGCAAGCGUUGUCCGGAUUUAUUGGGCGUAAAGCGAGCGCAGGCGGUUUUUUAAGUCUGAUGUGAAAGCCUUCGGCUCAACCGAAGAAGUGCAUCGGAAACUGGGAAACUUGAGUGCACAA